UACGAAGGGGGCUAGCGUUGCUCGGAAUCACUGGGCGUAAAGGGUGCGUAGGCGGGUUUUUAAGUCAGGGGUGAAAUUCUGGAGCUCAACUCCAGAACUGCCUUUGAUACUGAAAAUCUUGAGUCCGGGAGAGGUGAGUGGAACUGCGAGUGUAGAGGUGAAAUUCGUAGAUAUUCGCAAGAACACCAGUGGCGAAGGCGGCUCUCUAGUACGGUACUGACGCUGAGACGCGAAAGCGUGGGGAGCGAACAGG
rnacentral:rRNA from 1 species